AUGCAGCUGGCUUCUGCUGGAGGUUGUGAGCAAGAAACGCCAGAAGCUGCCCAACAGCGUGAAGCUCUCCGUUCCGGAGAAGCCGUAGGGAGGAUGACGGCAACGACGGAUGUUAAUGAAGAGCAGCCUGCAGAGGAAAAAAGAAAGGAGUGGGGAGAGGGGUGCCCUCCGGCUGAGGAGGGGACCCCGUGCGUGGAGGUGAGAUGGGGCUUAGCCCUGAAGUUUUCAAGGGUUCCCCUUGCGUGCGGGUCAAACUGGGGUGCCCUCCGGCUGAGGAGGGACCCCGUGCGUGGAGGUGAGAUGGGGCUUAGCCCUGAAGUUUUCAAGGGUUCCCCUUGCGUGCGGGUCAAACUGGGGUGCCCUCCGGCUGAGGAGAGACCCCGUGCGUGGAGGUGAGAUGGGGCUUAGCCCUGAAGUUUUCAAGGGUUCCCCUUGCGUGCGGGUCAAACUGGGGUGCCCUCCGGCUGAGGAGGGACCCCGUGCGUGGA
rnacentral:lncRNA from 7 species